rnacentral:rRNA from 1 species
AUUGGACGCUGGCGGCAGGCCUAACACAUGCAAGUCGAGCGGGGUUUUCGGACCUAGCGGCGGACGGGUGAGUAAUGCGUAGGAAGCUGCCCGAUAGAGGGGGAUACCAGUUGGAAACGACUGUUAAUACCGCAUAAUGUCUACGGACCAAAGUGUGGGACCUUCGGGCCACAUGCUAUCGGAUGCGCCUACGUGGGAUUAGCUAGUUGGUGAGGUAAUGGCUCACCAAGGCGACGAUCUCUAGCUGGUUUGAGAGGAUGAUCAGCCACACUGGAACUGCGACACGGUCCAGACGCCUACGGGAGGCAGCAGUGGGGAAUAUUGGACAAUGGGCGCAAGCCUGAUCCAGCCAUGCCGCGUGUGUGAAGAAGGCCUUCGGGUUGUGAAGCACUUUCAGCGAGGAGGAAGGGGUGUGUGUUAGUAGUACACACCUUUGACGUUACUCGCAGAAGAAGCACCGGCUAACUCUGUGCCAGCCGCCGCAGUAAUAC